GGGGCUAUAGCUCAGUUGGUUAGAGCGCGUCACUGAUAAUGACGAGGUCGAUGGUUCGAGUCCACCUAGCCCCACCA
rnacentral:tRNA from 2 species